rnacentral:rRNA from 1 species
AUUGCCUCAGUAACGGCGAGUGAAGCGGCAACAGCUCAAAUUUGAAAUCUGGCCUUGUGCCCGAGUUGUAAUUUGCAGAGGAUGUUUCUGGCAAGGUGCCUUCCGAGUUCCCUGGAACGGGACGCCAUAGAGGGUGAGAGCCCCGUCCGGUUGGUCGCCGCGCCUCUGUGAAACUCCUUCGACGAGUCGAGUAGUUUGGGAAUGCUGCUCUAAAUGGGAGGUAUACGUCUUCUAAAGCUAAAUACCGGCCAGAGACCGAUAGCGCACAAGUAGAGUGAUCGAAAGAUGAAAAGCACUUUGAAAAGAGGGUUAAACAGUACGUGAAAUUGUUGAAAGGGAAGCGCUCAUGACCAGACUUGGGCCGGUUGAUCAUCCGUCGUUCUCGGCGGUGCACUCUGCCGGUUCAGGCCAGCAUCAGUUUGCCCCGGGGGAUAAAGGUUUCGGGAACGUGGCUCCUCCGGGAGUGUUAUAGCCCGUUGCGUCAUACCCUGGGACAGACUGAGGUCCGCGCUCUGCAUGGAUGCUGGCGUAAUGGUCAUCAGCGACCCGUCUUGAAACACGGACCAAGGAGUCGUCUUCGUAUGCGAGUGUUCGGGUGUCAAACCCCUACGCGUAAUGAAAGUGAACGUAGGAGAGAGCUUCGGCGCAUCUCCGACCGAUCCUGAUGUUCUCGGAUGGAUUUGAGUAAGAGCAUACGGGGCCGGACCCGAAAGAAGGUGAACUAUGCCUGUAUAGGGUGAAGCCAGAGGAAACUCUGGUGGAGGCUCGCAGCGGUUCUGACGUGCAAAUCGAUCGUCAAAUAUGGGCAUGGGGGCGAAAGACUU